GACAAACAAAGGAAGGGAGCAAAAAAGAAUCAGCCACACAGCUUUGGAAGGCCUUCCAAUUCGCGUUCAGAGUCUAUACUUUCGCUGGUGGACAAGACGAGAGAGCAGAAAAGUUGACAAAAGAAUUGGCUGAAGUAAUCGAGACAGACCUUCAUCUUCAGACGUAAUAGUAGGCUCCCCAUUUUUUUCCAUAGGCUGCAAUCGAUCAUGCAAUCAGCAUGUUGAUGCUAUUCCUGGCUAGCGCCUUGUACGUGCAUGCUGCAUAAACUGCGAUGUUCAUGCUUAUACCAGGAGAGAAUUGCUAGAUGAAAAUGUUGUUAUUUGUAAAGACUGAGAGGAGAAAUUGAGCUAAAACUCUAGCUUUUACCUGUCACUGUUGAUACAUAAAAAAAAAAGACAGCCCGGUGCACUAAAGCUACCUCUAUGCACAGUGUCCGGGGAAGGACCCCAUCACAAUCACUGUUGAUACAUAAAAAAAGGACAGUUUGGUGCACUAAAGCUACCUAUGCACAGUGUCCGGGGAAGGACCCCACCACAAUCACUGUUGAUACAUAACAAAUAUAUAUAACACCUUUGUGACUGGUUUUGUAGCAUGGGUAUAUAGCAGCUAGCAAGACUGACUAUUUUUUCCUCGUCGAACAAAAAAGAACACACGCGUUACAACUAUAUAUCGAUUGAUUGUCUAGAGUGUUAACUUCUAUAUACUGUUGACGCUAUAGCCUUAAAACAUAACUACAAGUAACCUGCAGCUACAGCAAGGGUGAAAUAUACUUGUCGUGUAACAAAUAUUUGUACUGUCCAUGCAUAUAAGUUAAAUUCGUAUGUAAGUCGUUUAUUCUUCUAGAGCCAGUAUUUGCAGGCAUCUCUCAGACCAUUGAAUCCUACAUUUCCCUAAUUAACAACACAUUGUAAUUCCACUUGGGGUCUGGGGCUAUGUUGCUCAGACUUGUCAAAAAUAUCAAUAGGUGCGUGUCAGAUUCGCCAAAAUUAGUGUAUUUUUGACGAAUCCGACGCGGGUGCGACAAAUGAAAAGUCCGUGCAACUUAGGUCCAAGGAGGGUAAGGUGUACGCACACCGUACCGUACCUCUACCUCGUGGAGAUAGAGAGGUUGUCUCCGAUAAACCCUUGGCACAAGUAGCUCAUAACGACGCAAUGAUAUAGUGGUGUAAAACAGUAUAUAAAGUAGAGUAAAUGCACUGUUUUCACCCUGAACUAUAAACGAAAUUGCUGAGACACACCCGAACUUAAAGGGGGGCCUAUUACCCCCUGGACUAAUUAAAACCGUAUUUGUGGCAACCUUAGUGCCUACAUGGCACAUACAUGUGCCUACGUGGACCUUCAAUGUGUUGAUUCACGCAGUGUGCCACGUAGGCACUAAAGUUGCCAAAAAUAUGAUUUUAAUUAAUCCAGGAAUAAUAGGACCUCUUAAGUUGGAGUGUGUCUCAACAGUUUCGUUUAUAGCUCACGAUGGAAAUAGUGCAUUUUCUCUGUAAAAGUAAUAUCAAAGGUAUUAUGCAAUAGGAUUAAACCAAUCCUCCUAGUGAUAUCAAAGAAUAUUCAAAGUCCAAAAUAUAUUAAUUUGUCAAAAUUUGGUAAAAGCCUCUAUAAUGCAAGAUAUAUUAAUUUUAUUCUUGUUUGUUCAUGCAAUUUGGUCAGCUUUUAGUUCCACUAACUGAUUAAGACUAGUUUUUGCAUGAAAUUUAUUUUCACUUUCACACAAAAAACUUCAAAAAUAUUUCAAGUAAAAUGCAUAUCAAAACAUGUUCAACUUCAAGUUCCAAAAACUAUUUUUCAACACAAAUUCAGCAACUUUAAUUUUAUUUUUUUCAAGUUUCAAUUAAAUCUAUGACCAAACGAUAACUUAGUAACCUUAGUCACAUGAAUAUUAGUUUAAAUUACCCAUUAUCUCUUCUUAAUUAAUAAUCCAUUCAUGGAAAUAGUAAAGGUAGAUUUAGGAAAAAGUAAUACUAAAUGAUUUCUUUUUUGCAAAAAUAUAAAUAAAAAUUCGAAAUGGCUAAUUAUUAUUUUGGAAAGAAAUAAGUUAAGGUGACACAAAAAGGAAGUUCAUAAUGUGAUAUUUCUUUUAGCAAAACUUUGAAGUUUGAAUGCAUUCAUAUGAAUAUAUAUAUGGAAAUAAGUCAAUCAAGAUUAAAGAAUAAUAGGCAAAUGCAAUCAAGAAAAUGCAUCUCAAAAUAGAAUUUUUUUUGUUAAUAUAAUUAAAAAAAUUCUUAUAGAUAUAUCUUGAACUAUUUCUAUGCAAGUAAAAAACUUCUAGAAUGAUAUAUUAUAUAUAUAGUAUCUUGGAUACUUAAUUAUUUUAAAGAUAAGUUUGGAAAUUCUAUAUUCACACUUAUGUAUCAUAUAUGUACAAUAUGAACUUUUGUGCCGUCUGAAUUAUUUUAUAAUAAUCGUCUUUUGUAAUAAUAUUUUUUUAUAAUUGUCAAGUUCUUUUUGAAAAUAAUUGAGGUUUUAAAGGAUAAGAUUCUCUGAAAGUAAAAAUAGACAUAUUUAAUUAAUCCGAUCCAUUGUAGGAACUAUCCAUAAUUACAAACUUACAAAAUGAAUCAAUUUAUCAUUAUAAAGUGAUUCGACUUUCCUGAUUCUGCUCCACCUAAUGUCAUUUGAACAAAUAAUUUUUUAAUUUAAUACUAAUAAUAAAUAUUAAUAUCCAUUUAUAUAAUUUAUUAUUAAUUAUAUAAAAAAUCACUAAACCCAUAAAUUUAAUGGUUGGAAUCACAUAAUUAAUUAACUUUAUUUUCUUUCUUUCUUUUCUCUUUCUCCUUUGGAAACGAAAGAGAGAAAGAAACGAAAGUCUUUUGUCCUCAUGAAGAUGAUUUUGGUUUAGCCAAAUUUUCUCAAUAGCCUAAAGGGAAAAAAUUCUUUGUUUUUUUUCAUCAAUUUCCCAAAAAACAUCUUUAAUUAAAAUUUCUUUUACCAAAACAUAAAUUUUGGUUAAUAGAAAUUUGAAAAACUUUUUUAAAAAAUCUUUUUUUGUUGUUCUUCUUCCUAAAUUUCUCUUCAAAAGUCUUUUCGCGAAAAAGUAACUUGUUAUUAUUCGUUGAAAAUGGCGAGUGGGGUAUUUUGUGGUGUCGUUCCUUUCAUUUUUCGCAAAAAGUCUUCCCCGUUAAAGGUAUUUUUUUUUCGUCUAUAUUUAUUCAUAUACAAGUUGUGGAAACAUGGUAAGGCUGCGCACAAUAUAAGUAUAUGUUGAAGGACCUCUUUGGAAAUCUUUUUGUUUAAACUAUAUGUUGAUAAGGGAAAUAAUAUUUUAUUUGAAAAUCAAAGCACCCAGAUAUCUUCUUAGUUUCAUGGGUGCUUUUUUUCAUCUGUCAGAGUUUGUGACCCGAAUUUUGUUGAUUCGGCCGUUGUUUAAGAUUUCUUGUGGGGUCUGUGGUGGUAGACCCGAUUCCGGAGCCCACCACCAAUCCUGUUGCGGGUGCGGGGGCGAAGUUUUUAGGCUCAUCUUCUCACAUAACAGAAGCUUUAUGCACCGAGCUUCCCUUAACAUAUACAUUGAUCUAUGACGAACCUUAACAAAUACGUACAAUAGAUCCAAUGUUCGCACAUAGCAGAAGCUUUAUGCACCAUGGUUCCCUUAACAUAUCAAAUUUAUUUUUGAUAUAUCGAUGAAUCUCUCCUGUUGUAACGCCAUUACUAACAGUAGCUAACUUUAUCGUUUUUACAGGAAGAAGAUAUGCGUAAAAGUAGGAGAUUACAUACUAGAGUAAUAGCGAAAAUACCUUCAAUGUUGAUACCAAGAAGAUCAAAAUCAUCGAAAGGUUCCAAAUCGCGCUACUCAUGUGGAACGAAAACACCAAGUCCAAGAUUGCAGAGUCCAAAUAGGGUGAAAACAGCACCAAAAAGUCCCAGAAUGGCAAUAGCAACAAGUCCAACUUUUCACAAUUCAUGUGGGGUGGCUAGUAACUUUAGAAUAAUGACAGGUAUAAAAAACAAGAUCAUCACAUUGAGAAUAUUGUUUGAUCUUACUCCUUGUGAUGGCUCUGAAUCUGCAAAUGAGGUAUGUAUAUAUACGAAUACUAGUUAAAUCGCUCAGUUAUGUUGCUCGGACUAUCCAAAAAUGUUGAAGCAUAGAGUGAAGGGUGGUCAGUUGAACGUGUUUUCAUCGAAAGAUCAUAUUAUAUAGGUCCCUUUUUUUGGAUAACCGUGGUAUCUGGGCUUAGCUUGGGUGCACCUCGACUAAUUUCAUGGGAUACUACCACCUACCGACAGGUACCAGGUAACUCAAGGCUAGGAUAAAUGCGAAGAAAUCACCCAGUAUUUUUUGUCUCUACUGGGAUUUGAACCCGAGACCUUAUGGUUCUCAACAGUGACGGAGCCACUUUAUGCUGACACCUUUGUGACUUUCGUUACUUUGUGACAUUCGUUAACAAAAUUUCUGGCUCCGCCACUGAUUCUUAGCACCACUUCAUAUGUAUCGCUACAUGACAUCCUUGGGGUCUCAAAAAUCACUUUUUAUAAAUCCUUAACACCCUUAACGAAAUUUCUGGUUUUCCUCCAAAUAGAAAACUAUCUUUAGAGGAUCUGACAUGCACCCGUCAAAAUUUUUGAAGAUUCCGAGCAACAUACAGUCGAUUCACUCACUUAAGGGAAUAACAAGAACUGUCACUUUUAACCAACUUUUUCUGUUAUGAACAUGUUUUUCAACAGCUGCUGAUAUCAACUCUAAGGGAUCUACAUAAACUGUUUCCUUCUAUCAAUCCGAAUUUUUCGUUGUUGAAAAUAGAUGGAACAUCAAUACAUGAGGUAAUGUGAGUAUGUUUUUAAGCAAAAUCACAACUUACUGAGCUAACAACUCCAAAAUUUUCGCUGUUUCGUUCAGAAAGUGCGAUGCUUUUGUGAUAUAUUGAGAUCCAUCGGGGAACUGUGGACAGGCAACGAUGAAUGGAUGAUUAUGUGCAAAGAGAACUCGAACAGUAAACUAAAUGAUUUUGAGUAUGGUAUGAUCAUCUCUCUGUAUAGUUUCUUGUCUGUCGAUUUCUGUUACUAGCUAUUGUCUCAGAAUACUUUGCCAUGCUUUCGAUAGCAUUUUGAAUAUGGAUAUGUUUUUACUUGAGCCCGAGGGUCUAUCGGAAACAGCCCCUAUAUCUCGUAAGGUAGGAUAAGGUCUGCAUACGCUCUACCCUCUCCAGAUCCCACCUAUGGGCCGGAUUACACUGAGUAUGUUAUCGUUGUUGUAUUUUUGUCUUUGAUAUGCAGUUAUAAUGAUUUACUUAUGUUAAUUAUGUAGUGUUGGCAUUGCUCGAUGACAUUAUCAAGUUAGCUAGCGAACGGAUGGUAGAGAUGACAGAUGAGGACGAGACUGAGGAUGAGGAUGAUCGGACGAGAGAAACAAGUCCUUCAUCUGACGCGUUUGAGAAGAAUUUUUCGGAGAUGUUCUCGAGCAACAAUUCAUCCCUUUCGAGCUCUCCAACUUCAGUCCUCCCCGAGAUAAUAACCAAUGCCUCGAAGAAGAAUGCAAAAGCGGCGUCUAUCACUUCCCCUCUUCUCUUAUCGCUCAAGGUUCAAGCCGUUGGAAACCAGAACCCAAUCGAGGUAAAGCACCUCUCGUUCCACAUGUUACCCAAUGGAAAUCUACAUUAAAAUAAUGAAUGAAAUAAUGGACUUACCGGAGAUUCUACUGAAUAGUCUGGAGAAAGCAUCGGAGAAUGGUGGAAUAUUUUGGACCGGUGAUGCAUCAAAUGGCGAAGCAGUUCCAGCGCGUGUUACAUUUGACGUGCUUUUGCCUCCAUCUUCAAUUUCUAGGUUGCAAUCAAAUGUAACGGAACUGUCAUCAGUGCCGCCUUCACCAAACAUUUUAUCACCAAAGAUCGUAGGAUCACAAGUACCAACGCCACCUCAGCCGGAACCUCAACCAGAGUCGUCGUGUGAGAAUGAGGAACCAGCACCAUCGUCACCACCAGCACGCAUUACAUCAGGAAACACACCUCCACCUCCACCUCCACCUCCGCCACCUCCAAUUACAACAAAAGUUAGAGUAGUGCCUUGCCCUCCGCCACCACCUCCCAAGAAAUCGGAGAAAGUACAUUCAGCUCCACCUUUACCUCCACCUCCACCUCCACGUUCACCUAACGAAGGAUUAAAAGGUAUGGUAACCCCACACCCCCUUCCACCAAAGGCGUCAAAUGGAGCAGCACCAGCACCAGCACCAGCACCCCCUUCACCGAAGCCAAUAGGAAAGGUAGCUGAACCUCCACCGCCACCAACGCCAAGGGGAAAGAGACCUGCACCUCCAAAAUCACCAAGACUGGCAGUACCAGCCCCGCCUCCACCAAUGCAAACAAAAAUGGGAGGUGCACCUCCACCACCACCACCAACUUUUGCAGGUGCCAAAAAUCCACAAUCGACGAAAACAGCCACUAAACUGAAAAGAUCAUCCCAAAUGGGAGAUCUUUAUCGAUCACUUAAGGGAAAAGUCGAAGGAUCUAGUUUGCAAGGUAAACAAAAGGGAGGGAAGGGAAAAUUUAAUGCAUUGAAAGGAGAUAAACCAGGAAUGGCUGAUGCAUUAGCCGAGAUGACAAAGAGGUAAUCUUCUCUUCUUGAAAUCUCGAAUACUCCCUCCGAUUUAAUUUGCUUGUUUGGUUUUUACUUGGCACGGAGUUUAAGAAAGUACGAAUUAUAUCUCACAGAUCAGCAUAUUUCCAACAAAUCGAAGAGGAUGUUAAAAAUCAUGCAAAACUAAUCAAGGAGAUGAAAAAGGCCAUUGCUUCUUUCCAAACAUCAGAUAUGUCUGAGCUCAUUACAUUCCACAAUUAUGUAGAAUCCCAACUCGAGAAACUAACAGACGAAACUCAGGUUCAUUCUGCAUUUCGUAUUUCUGUCAUAACUAACCAUUUCAGGAUGUUGCCUUAAAAGACUUUCUUGUUACAGGUCCUAGCAAGAUUUGAAGAUUUUCCUUGUAAGAAGUUGGAAGCGUUGAGGACGGCAGCAACUCUCUAUUCCAAAUUAGAUUCAAUAGUCUCUACUUUACAGAAUUGGCAACCAGCCUCGCCUGUCGGCCAACAUCUUGCCAGGGCUGAGAGGUACUUCAACAAGGUAGAAAACUGUCCCUGGACCUCAUCAAAACUUCCCACGACUUGAUUUCGCGUUAGCAGUUCUAACGAAUAGUUCUUUCAUAUAGAUAAAAGGAGAUGUGGACACUCUGGACCGGACUAAAGACGAAGAAUCCAAGAAACUAAAAACACAUCAAAUCCAGUUUGACUUUGGCGCCCUUGUGCGUAUCAAAGAAUUGAUGGUGGAUGUUUCCUCAAACUGUAUGGAACUUGCACUGAAGGUUAGUACAAUCAAAAUCACUCUACAUGAUACAAUGAUAUAAAUUGAAAUGCAUUUUAAAUACAUAACUUUCCUGUAGCUUCUUGUCAUUCGAUUUCUGUAAGUAUCUACCAUCUCUUGUACUUUGAUUAUCACAUUAUUUUGUUGUACUUACUGUUCCUUUUUUUCAAAGUUCUUUGCCAUGCUUUCCUUGGUGUCUGCUUUGAUAUGCUUUUCCUUGAGCCAAGUGUCUACUUGAAACAGCCUCUCUACCUCCCACGGUAGGGGUAAGGUCUGUGUACACUCCGCCCUCCCUGGACCCCACUUGUGGGAUCACAAUGGGUAUGUUGUUGCUAUGUUGCUCGGACUCUUCAAAAAUGUCUACGACUGAGUGGCAGAUUCUCCAAAAGUAGUAUAUUCUUGGAGAAUCUGACAUGGGUGCGGCAUGAAAAGUGAAGAGUCCUCGUGACUUAGUGUUGUAUGUAUUUAGAUAGAGUAGAUUUGUUUAGGGAUAAGGUUUGAGCAACUUCACAAACAUGUAUAUGCUCGUAUAAACAUGUCGAUCAACAUUUUCUAAAUCUGCUUACAUGGUAUUCGCGUUAACAUUUUUUGAUAUAAUGCUGCAAUGUCGAAUCAGGAAAAGAGAGAAGAAACGGAAAGGGAAAAAGAAGGAACCGGACAAACAAAGGAAGGGAGCAAAAAAGAAUCAGCCACACAGCUUUGGAAGUCCUUCCAAUUCGCGUUCAGAGUCUAUACUUUCGCUGGUGGACAAGACGAGAGAGCAGAAAAGUUGACAAAAGAAUUGGCUGAAGUAAUCGAGACAGACCUUCAUCUUCAGACGUAAUAGUAGGCUCCCCAUUUUUUUCCAUAGGCUGCAAUCGAUCAUGCAAUCAGCAUGUUGAUGCUAUUCCUGGCUAGCGCCUUGUACGUGCAUGCUGCAUAAACUGCGAUGUUCAUGCUUAUACCAGGAGAGAAU
rnacentral:lncRNA from 1 species